GCAUUGGCAAAAUCCAGUGCCGGGAUUGAGACCCCGCAAUAUCACAGGCGCAAUCAUGUCGCCAGCCUAGUGCUGGUUUUUU
rfam:Shewanella baltica OS185, complete genome.